AAGACCUUGCGCUUUUGGAGCGGCCGAUGCCUGAUUAGCUUGUUGGUAAGGUAAAAGCUUACCAAGGCUUCGAUCAGUAGCUGGUCUGAGAGGACGGCCAGCCACACUGGGACUGAGACACGGCCCAGACUCCUACGGGAGGCAGCAGUGGGGAAUUUUGGACAAUGGGCGCAAGCCUGAUCCAGCCAUGCCGCGUGAGUGAAGAAGGCCUUCGGGUUGUAAAGCUCUUUCAGCCGGAACGAAACGGUUACGGUUAAUACCCAUGACUACUGACGGUACCGGAAGAAGAAGCACCGGCUAACUACGUGCCAGCAGCCGCGGUAAUACGUAGGGUGCGAGCGUUAAUCGGAAUUACUGGGCGUAAAGCGUGCGCAGGUGGUUUUGUAAGUCAGAUGUGAAAGCCCCGGGCUCAACCUGGGAACU
rnacentral:rRNA from 1 species